GAUGAACGCUGGCGGCGUGCCUAACACAUGCAAGUCGAACGAAGCACCUUACCUGAUUCUUCGGAUGAAAGUUUGGUGACUGAGUGGCGGACGGGUGAGUAACGCGUGGGUAACCUGCCCUGUACAGGGGGAUAACAGCUGGAAACGGCUGCUAAUACCGCAUAAGCGCACGAGGAGACAUCUCCUUGUGUGAAAAACUCCGGUGGUACAGGAUGGGCCCGCGUCUGAUUAGCUGGUUGGCAGGGUAACGGCCUACCAAGGCAACGAUCAGUAGCCGGUCUGAGAGGAUGAACGGCCACAUUGGAACUGAGACACGGUCCGAACUCCUACGGGAGGCAGCAGUGGGGAAUAUUGCACAAUGGGGGAAACCCUGAUGCAGCAACGCCGCGUGAGUGAAGAAGUAUUUCGGUAUGUAAAGCUCUAUCAGCAGGGAAGAUAAUGACGGUACCUGACUAAGAAGCUCCGGCUAAAUACGUG
rnacentral:rRNA from 1 species